GCUGUAAUAGCUCAGUGGUUAGAGCAUCGAACUCGUAAUUCGAAGGUCGUAGGUUCGAUUCCUGCUUACAGUU
rnacentral:tRNA from 1 species